UACGUAGGGUGCGAGCGUUGUCCGGAAUUACUGGGCGUAAAGAGCUCGUAGGUGGUUUGUCGCGUUGUCCGUGAAAACUCACAACUCAAUUGUGGGCGUGCGGGCGAUACGGGCAGACUGGAGUACUGCAGGGGAGACUGGAAUUCCUGGUGUAGCGGUGGAAUGCGCAGAUAUCAGGAGGAACACCGGUGGCGAAGGCGGGACUCUGGGCCGAUACUGACGCUGAGGAGCGAAAGCGUGGGGAGCGAACAGG
rnacentral:rRNA from 1 species